rnacentral:lncRNA from 1 species
AUGCUGCUGGCCAGUUCAAGCAAGGCUGAAAUAACAAGAAUGAAGAACCUCCUAAAAUCAAAAUUUGAAAUUAAAGACUUAGUGAAUGCCAAGAAAAUACUGAGAAUGGUGAUAACUAGAAAUAGACAAGAAGACGGGUUAACAAUAACUCAAGAAUCUUACCUGCAUAAAGUCAUAUCAAAAUUUGGCAUGAAAGAGGCAAAGUCUAUUAAUGUUCCACUUGCUAUUCACAUGAAUCUCUCCUUAGCCCAAUGUCUUAAAACUGAAUCCGAAAUUAAAGACAAGAAAAAUAUUCCCUACUCUAAUGCAAUAGAUCAUUAAUGUUUUCUAUGAUCACAACUAGACCUGAUCUAGCAUAUUCAAUUAGUUUUUUAAGCAGGUUUAUGGCUAACCCUGGG